GGUCGCGUAGCGUAGUGGCAACGCUGCUUCCUGUCGAGGAGACGUCGCGGGUUCGAUUCCCGCCGCGACCGCCA
rnacentral:tRNA from 1 species